AGAGUUUGAUCAUGGCUCAGAGCGAACGUUAGCGGCGCGCUUAACACAUGCAAGUCGCACGAGAAAGGGCUUCGGCCCCGGUAAAGUGGCGCACGGGUGCGUAACACGUAGGCAAUCUUCCCUUGAGCGGGGGAUAACGUUUCGAAAGAGACGCUAAUACCGCAUAAGACCACGUCUGGUUCGCCAGAUGCGGUCAAAGCUGGCCUCUUCAUGAAAGCUAGCACUUAAGGACGAGCCUGCGGCCCAUCAGCUAGUUGGUAGGGUAACGGCCUACCAAGGCUAAGACGGAUAGCUGGUCUGAGAGGAUGAUCAGCCACACUGGAACUGAAACACGGUCCAGACUCCUACGGGAGGCAGCAGUGGGGAAUAUUGGACAAUGGGCGAAAGCCUGAUCCAGCGACGCCGCGUGAGUGAUGAAGGCCUUCGGGUUGUAAAGCUCUGUUGAGGGAGAAGAAAACAGUUAGAACUAAUAUGUCUAGCUCUUGACGGUAUCCCUUUAGAAAGCACCGGCUAACUCUGUGCCAGCAGCCGCGGUAAUACAGAGGGUGCAAACGUUGCUCGGAAUUACUGGGCGUAAAGCGCGUGUAGGCGGACCUGUAAGUUGGAUGUGAAAGCCCUGGGCUCAACCCAGGAAUUGCAUACAAAACUACAGGCCUAGAGUGAUGGAGAGGGCAGCAGAAUUCCUGGUGUAGAGGUGGAU
rnacentral:rRNA from 1 species